rnacentral:lncRNA from 1 species
GUCACACUUCUUCUUCUUCUUCUUAAACUUCCAACAUGCCAUUUUCAGAGCUCCAACACAUGGUAUCAGAGCUAGGGCUUGCAUGGUGAAGAAGAAGAAGACAAUCCGUCAGGAAGAAGAAGGCAAUCCCCCCCCCCCGAUACCGCCUUUCAAGGUAACUUCUCAAUCGGCCUUGAGGUUAUUGUGAUUGUGGUAGGCACCAACCAUGAGAAAUAGUAUAAAAGUAGAUUUUGAGAAGUUUAAUAGUAAGGAUAGUUUCUCAAUAUGGAAGAUCAAG